rnacentral:lncRNA from 1 species
GUUCUCUCUCCUUGUUGCAUCCCCUCAUUUGUCAUCUGCUGUGUCACUGCAUGGGUAUGGCCUGGAGCUGCUCUGCCCUGCUGCAGUCUCGCCUAUAGAUGCAGAUGGAUUAAAUCCGUGGCAGAGCGCCCCACACCGGGUGAGGGGGUUCCUGCAAGAAGGAGGUAAAGACAGAUAGCAGAAAUCAAAGUGAAGUGAGCCUGCUGCCCCUGUGGCCCUCCAG